CGGGACGGGUGAGUAAUGUCUGGGAAACUGCCUGAUGGAGGGGGGUAACUACUGGAAACGGUAGCUAAUACCGCAUAACGUCGCAAGACCAAGAGGGGACCUUCGGGCCUCUUGCCAUCGGAUGUGCCCAGAUGGGAUUAGCUAGUAGGUGGGGUAACGGCUCACCUAGGCGACGAUCCCUAGCUGGUCUGAGAGGAUGACCAGCCACACUGGAACUGAGACACGGUCCAG
rnacentral:rRNA from 1 species